GGUGUAGCCACGCGCGCUGGCGGGAGAAAUCCCCCUGAGGCUGGGCCUGGGGAAGGAACUUCCCAACAACAGACUAUGUAUCAUUCUCACGGGACAGAUCGGCCUGCCCUGGUCCUCCUCGCACUCUCCAUGUUCUUCCUAACCCGUGGGGCCAGAACUGAUCGCUGACCCAGCCCAGGGUUACUAAAAGAGAGGAUGAAGGCAAUGCUCAGGCUAUGUAGUUUGCCUGGAGGUUAACAUCUCUCAGACUACCCUUAAGGAGAAGAUGGAGAGG
rnacentral:lncRNA from 1 species